CCCGCUGAACUUAAGCAUAUCAAUAAGCGGAGGAAAAGAAACUAACAAGGAUUCCCCCAGUAACUGCGAGUGAAGAGGGAAGAGCUCAAAUUUAAAAUCUGACAGUCCCUGAUUGUCCGAGUUGUAAAUUAGAGAAGCGUUAUCCGCGCUGACUGUGCAUAAGUUCCUUGGAAAAGGGCAUCAUAGAGGGUGACAAUCCCGUCUUUGGCACAGACUCCCAGGGCUUUUGUGAUGCGCUCUCAAUGAGUCGAGUUGUUUGGGAAUGCAGCUCUAAAUGGGUGGUAAAUUCCAUCUAAAGCUAAAUAUUGGCGAGAAACCGAUAGCGCACAAGUACCGUGAGGGAAAGAUGAAAAGAACUUUGAAAAGAGAGUUAAACAGUACGUGAAAUUGUUGAAAGGGAAACGCUUGAAGUCAGUCGCAUCCUUCAGAAAUCAACCUGACCGUUAGGUCUGGCGCACUUUCUGUUUGGAUGGGUCAGCAUCAAUUUUGAUCAUUGGAUAAAGGCCUCGGGAAUGUGGCAUCUUUGGAUGUGUUAUAGCCCUUGGUUACACAGUGGUUGGGAUUGAGGAACUCGGUGCCUCGGCACUCAGGAUGCUGGCAUAAUGGCUUUAAUCGACCCGUCUUGAAACACGG
rnacentral:rRNA from 1 species